ACUCAAAGGAAUUGACGGGGGCCCGCACAAGCAGCGGAGCGUGUGGUUUAAUUCGAGGCUACACGAAGAACCUUACCUAGACUUGACAUGCAAGUGGUAGUGAACCGAAAGGGGAACGACCUUCGGGAGCUUGCACAGGUGCUGCAUGGCUGUCGUCAGCUCGUGUCGUGAGAUGUUCGGUUAAGUCCGGUAACGAGCGCAACCCUCGCCGUUAGUUAUACGUGUCUAGCGGGACUGCCCGGAGGAACUGGGAGGAAGGUGGGGAUGACGUCAAGUCAGCAUGGCCUUUAUGUCUAGGGCGACACACACGCUACAAUGGUCGGUACAAUCGGCAGCCAAGCCGCGAGGCGGAGCUAAUCCGUAGAAAGCCGACCUCAGUUCGGAUUGUAGGCUGCAACUCGCCUGCAUGAAGUCGGAGUUGCUAGUAAACGCGCAUCAGCCAUGGCGCGUUGAAUACGUUCCCGGGCCUUGUACACACCGCCCGU
rnacentral:rRNA from 1 species